UAGGGGCGAAAGACUAAUCGAACCAUCUAGUAGCUGGUUCCCUCCGAAGUUUCCCACAGGAUAGCUUGAGCGCACACAGUACGGUUUUGUCAGGUAAAGCGAAUGAUUAGAGGCAUUGGGGACGAAAUGUCCUCGACCUAUUCUCAAACUUUAAAUAGGUAGGACGGCGCGGCUGCUUCGUUGAGCCGCGUCAAGGAAUCGAGAGCUCCAAGUGGGCCAUUUUUGGUAAGCAGAACUGGCGAUGCGGGAUGAUCCGAACGCACAGUUAAAGUGCCAAAGUGCCCGCUCAUGCAGAUCCCAUA
rnacentral:rRNA from 14 species